GAAAUCCGCUAAGGAGUGUGU
rnacentral:snRNA from 1 species